rnacentral:pre_miRNA from 1 species
CCUAUACUCCCUCCGUCCCAAAAUUCUUGUCUUAGAUUUGUCUAAAUACGGAUGUAUCAAGUCACAUUUUAGUAUUAGAUACAUCCGUAUCUAGACAAAUCUAAGACAAGAAUUUUGGGACAGAGGGAGUACAAA